rnacentral:lncRNA from 1 species
CCCAAUAAUUAUUUCCAUCUCCAGAAAACCAUUUCAGGGUGGAGAAUGGAAAGGAUACCACUUGCUGAGUGAUUUCUUUACAGGUUAAUUUGAACCUGCUGGAAACAAUAGCAAUAAUCAUUGCUUGCUGAUAAAAUCUGAGCAUUAUGUUGCAAUACAGGCAAAUUCUCUGGAGGCACUGAGUGAGAAACAAGGGAGAUGCUGUUAUUUGCAUUGGCAAGAAUGCAACUGACUCGUUGGCAGUGUAGCAACAAUAACUGGGGCAACAGAAACACUGGCAGUGGCUGCCUCUGGAUCAGGUCUGU